rnacentral:rRNA from 1 species
GACAGAGGGUGCAAGCGUUAAUCGGAAUUAUUGGGCGUAAAGCGCACGUAGGCGGAUUGAUAAGUUGGGUGUGAAAUCCCUGGGCUUAACCUGGGAACUGCAUUCAAAACUGUCAGUCUAGAGUAUGGUAGAGGAAGGCGGAAUUUCCGGUGUAGCGGUGAAAAUGCGUAGAUAUCGGAAAGAACACCAGUGGCGAAGGCGGCCUUCUGGACCAAUACUGACGCUGAGGUGCGGAAAGCGUGGGGAGCAAACAGGGAUUAAGAAACCCC